GACGAACGCUGGCGGCGUGCCUAAUACAUGCAAGUAGAACGCUGAAGGAGGAGCUUGCUUCUCUGGAUGAGUUGCGAACGGGUGAGUAACGCGUAGGUAACCUGCCUGGUAGCGGGGGAUAACUAUUGGAAACGAUAGCUAAUACCGCAUAAGAGUAGAUGUUGCAUGACAUUUGCUUAAAAGGUGCACUUGCAUCACUACCAGAUGGACCUGCGUUGUAUUAGCUAGUUGGUGAGGUAACGGCUCACCAAGGCGACGAUACAUAGCCGACCUGAGAGGGUGAUCGGCCACACUGGGACUGAGACACGGCCCAGACUCCUACGGGAGGCAGCAGUAGGGAAUCUUCGGCAAUGGACGGAAGGCUGACCGAGCAACGCCGCGUGAGUGAAGAAGGUUUUCGGAUCGUAAAGCUCUGUUGUAAGAGAAGAACGAGUGUGAGAGUGGAAAGUUCA
rnacentral:rRNA from 1 species